GGGGCUGUAGCUCAGAUGGGAGAGCGUCACAUUCGCAUUGUGAAGGUCGGGGGUUCAACUCCCCCCAGCUCCA
rnacentral:tRNA from 1 species